rnacentral:ncRNA from 2 species
AUUAAUCCCUGGGGGAGGUCAUAAAGGGCCUGAGAGUUCCCAUUAAGGGAAGACCCCUUGAACCUGAACCGGGUAAUGCCGGCGUAGGGAAUGGGAGAGGCUGAAUA